rnacentral:rRNA from 1 species
CAAUAAAAUCCCUGCCAAGAAAAGCGAGCAUAGCAGCCAGUACCGGAAUCCGACACAGGUAGACGGGAUGAGUAUUCUAAGGCGCUCGGGUGAGCCGCGGAGAAGGAACUAGGCAAAUUAACGCUGUAACUUCGGGAUAAAGCGUACCGCAGUGAUGCGGUCACAGUAAAUAGGUACAACCAACUGUUUAACAAAAACACAGGGCCCUGCAAAAACGUAAGUUGACGUAUAGAGCCUGAAACCUGCCCGGUGCUGGAAGGUUAAGGAAGGGUGUUCGUCGCAAGACAAAGCUCCUGACUGAAGCCCCAGUAAACGGCGGCCGUAACUAUAACGGUCCUAAGGUAGCGAAAUUCCUUGUCGGGUAAGUUCCGACCUGCACGAAUGGUCUAAUGAGUUGUACACUGUCUCCUCCGCGAGCCCGGUGAAAUUGUAGUAUCGGUGAAGAUGCCGGUUACCCGCCACGGGACGGAAAGACCCCGUGAACCUUCACUACAACUUUGCAUUGAUUUUGAACAACCGAUGUGUAGGAUAGUUGGGAGACUUUGAAGUAGCGUCGCCAGGCGUUAUGGAGUCAUCGUUGAAAUACCAACCUUCGUUUGUUUAGAACCUAAUCCCUAACGGGAGACAGUGCAUGGUGGGUAGUUUGACUGGGGUGGUCGCCUCCUAAAAAGUAACGGAGGCUCGCAAAGGUACCCUCAGUACGGUUGGUAAUCGUACGUAGAGCGCAUUAGUAAAAGGGUGCUUGACUGUGAGACAAACAAGUCGAGCAGGAGCGAAAGCUGGCUAAAGUGAUCCGGUGUUUCUGCAUGGAAGGGACAUCGCUCAAAGGAUAAAAGGUACUCCGGGGAUAACAGGCUGAUCUUACCCAAGAGCUCAUAUCGACGGUAAGGUUUGGCACCUCGAUGUCGGUUCGUCACAUCCUGGGGCUGGAGAAGGUCCCAAGGGUUCGGCUGUUCGCCGAUUAAAGUGGCACGUGAACUGGGUUCAGAACGUCGCAAGACAGUUCGGUCCCUAUCUGUGGUGGGCGUUAGUAAAUUGAGUGGACAUGUUCUUAGUACGAGAGGACCGGAAUGUACGUACCGCUGGUGUAUCUGUUAUGCCGCCAGGUGUAAUGCAGAGUAGCUAUGUACGGCCAGGAUAAACGCUGAAAGCAUCUAAGCGUGAAACCUUCCACAAGAUGAGUUUACUUUUAAGGGUCGUCAGAGACUAUGACGUUGAUAGGCUAUAGAUGUAAAGCUAGUAAUAGCAAAGUCGAGUAGUACUAAUUGCCCGUAAGCUUAUUUUU